GACGAAGGUGGCAAGCGUUGUUCGGAAUCACUGGGCUUAAAGCGCACGUAGGCGGGCCGUUAAGCACCUUGUGAAAGCCCCCGGCUCAACCGGGGAAUUGCUUGGUGUACUGGCGGUCUUGAGGCAGGUAGGGGCGUGGAGAACUCUUGGUGGAGCGGUGAAAUGCGUAGAUAUCAAGAGGAAUGCCGGAGGUGAAGACGCCGCGCUGGGCCUGUCCUGACGCUGAGGUGCGAAAGCCAGGGGAGCAAACGGG
rnacentral:rRNA from 1 species